rnacentral:rRNA from 1 species
CCUACGGGGUGCUGCAGUAGGGAAUUUUGCGCAAUGGGGGAAACCCUGACGCAGCAACGCCGCGUGGAGGAUGAGGGUUUUAGGAUUGUAAACUCCUUUUGUUAGAGAAGAUUAUGACGGUAUCUAACGAAUAAGCACCGGCUAACUCCGUGCCAGCAGCCGCGGUAAUACGGAGGGUGCAAGCGUUACUCGGAAUCACUGGGCGUAAAGAGUGCGUAGGCGGGGUAAUAAGUCAGAUGUGAAAUCCUGUAGCUUAACUACAGUACUGCAUUUGAAACUGUUACUCUGGAGUGUGGGAGAGGUAGGUGGAAUUCUUGGUGUAGGGGUAAAAUGCGUAGAGAUCAAGAGGAAUACUGAUUGCGAAGGCGACCUGCUGGAACAUUACUGACGCUGAUGCACGAAAGCGUGGGGAGCAAACAGGAUUAGAUACCCUUGUAGUC